AGCAGUCGCCGCGGGAAUACGUAGGUCCCGAGCGUUGUCCGGAUUUAUUGGGCGUAAAGCGAGCGCAGGCGGUUAGAUAAGUCUGAAGUUAAAGGCUGUGGCUUAACCAUAGUACGCUUUGGAAACUGUUUAACUUGAGUGCAGAAGGGGAGAGUGGAAUUCCAUGCGUAGCGGUGAAAUGCGUAGAUAUAUGGAGGAACACCGGUGGCGAAAGCGGCUCUCUGGUCUGUAACUGACGCUGAGGCUCGAAAGCGUGGGGAGCAAACAGGAUUAGAUACCCCAGUAGUCCCUGUCUCUUAUACA
rnacentral:rRNA from 1 species